UGGUCCGCUACGGGGCCAGGGCGACUUGAUUCACCGGUGCGUGUAAAUAAUGGACUACGCCGCUCAGGGAUGGCCUUGGAAGAUGGCAGCCAGGAGCAGUCCUCCAGGGGACAUAUAUCUGGGUAGAAUACGUGGCUCUGAGAACCAGAAGAUAGCAGUAGGAGAGGUCUUUCUCACCAUUGGUCCCAGUGACCAACAGAGGGAACUGUGCUUUCUGUCCUUGCCACAUUGGCUUCUGCGGCUUCCAGGGGAAGAACGUCUUCACCAGAGGACACAUUUCUCAGGCAACCGGUCCGACCAAAAUCCUGGAGAAGAAGCUUCCCUGAUGGGGCACACUCAUGACAAGAAGCAACUUCAUCCGUGGUGACUCUGGACCAUGGGCACUGUGGGGCUCUGCUUGGGGGUCUCUUCAGGGCCAGGUUGUCCACCACUCAGCUGCCUUUCUGGGAACUGCCCUCAGCCUCAGGGAAGUGCCCCCCUGCAAGGUUCCUUCACCUCUCAGAGUGCAGUCCAUGUCCGAUGACUGACUGGCCUGGGGGGUCCACAUGCAAUCUUGGCAAGAGUCAUCCUCUCCCAGUGCUCAAUUCCACCUUCCCCCACUUCCUCAAAGAUGUGUCUUCUGAGAACACUCCCAGUAAACCCCCCCUGGGUGCAGUUUUGCAUCUCAGACUCUUUCCAUGGAACCCAAGCUGGCUUUCCAGUUCCAAAGCCAAGGGCUUUAGGAUAUUGGAAAUGCCUCAUGGAAUAUAUAAGGUUUUGGGGUGAAAAUAAGAGUAACAGUAGCUUCUCCCAAGCCAAAGCAAAACAAAACAAACCAAAAAAAUAAAAUUAGGGC